CACGUAGUUGGCCGGGGCUUCUUAGUCAGGUACCGUCUUUUUUCUUCCCUGCUGAUAGAGCUUUACAUACCGAAAUACUUCUUCACUCACGCGGCGUCGCUGCAUCAGGGUUUCCCCCAUUGUGCAAUAUUCCCCACUGCUGCCUCCCGUAGGAGUUUGGGCCGUGUCUCAGUCCCAAUGUGGCCGUUCACCCUCUCAGGCCGGCUACUGAUCGUCGCCUUGGUAGGCCGUUACCCCACCAACCAGCUAAUCAGACGCGGGCUCAUCUUAUACUACCGGAGUUUUUCACACAGAAACAUGCGUCCCCGUGCGCUUAUGCGGUAUUAGCAGUCAUUUCUAACUGUUAUCCCCCUGUAUAAGGCAGAUUACCCACGUGUUACUCACCCGUCCGCCGCUAAGUCAAUUUCGAUUCCAUCCGAAAACUUCCUCAAAAUCGCUUCGCUCGACUUGCAUGUGUUAGGCACGCCGCCAGCGUUCAUCCUGAGCCAGGAUCAAACUCU
rnacentral:rRNA from 1 species